UACGUAGGGGGCUAGCGUUGUCCGGAUUUAUUGGGCGUAAAGAGCGUGUAGGCGGCCAUGUAGGUCCGGUGUGAAAACUCGAGGCUUAACCUCGAGAUGUCAUCGGAAACCAUUUGGCUAGAGUCCGGAAGAGGAGAGUGGAAUUCCUGGUGUAGCGGUGAAAGGCGCAGAUAUCAGGAAGAACACCCGUGGCGAAGGCGGCUCUCUGGUACGUGACUGACGCUGAGACGCGAAAGCGUGGGGAGCGAACAGG
rnacentral:rRNA from 1 species